GGGGGUGUAGUUCAGUAGUAGAUCGCAUGCUUAGCACGCAUGAGGCCCUGGGUUCGAUCCCCAGCACCUCCA
rfam:Dipodomys ordii contig_51957, whole genome shotgun sequence.